GCAUAUCAAUAAGCGGAGGAAAAGAAACCAACAGGGAUUGCCUCAGUAACGGCGAGUGAAGCGGCAAAAGCUCAAAUUUGAAAUCCCCCCGGGGAGUUGUAAUUUGAAGAUUGCGUCUUGGAGGCGACCGUGUCUAUGUUCCUUGGAACAGGACGUCACAGAGGGUGAGAAUCCCGUGCGGCACGGCCCCCGGCUCCUUAUAAGGCGCUCUCGACGAGUCGAGUUGUUUGGGAAUGCAGCUCAAAGUGGGUGGUAAAUUCCAUCUAAAGCUAAAUACAGGCGAGAGACCGAUAGCGAACAAGUACAGUGAUGGAAAGAUGAAAAGCACUUUGAAAAGAGAGUGAAACAGCACGUGAAAUUGUUGAAAGGGAAGGGCAUGCCGUCAGAUUGUCAGUGUGGGUAAGAAGCGGGGUACAAAGACUGUGGAACGUGGCCCUCGGGUGUUAUAGCCGCAGUUCAUGCCCCGUCUCUUCCGAGGCCUGCUUGAGACACGACUUC
rnacentral:rRNA from 1 species